rnacentral:rRNA from 1 species
UACGGAGGGUGCGAGCGUUGUCCGGAAUCACUGGGCGUAAAGGGCGCGUAGGCGGCGCGGGUAGUCAUCGGUGAAAGUUCAGGGCUCAACUCUGAAUCGGCCGGUGAUACUCUCGUGCUUGAGCACUGUAGAGGCAGGUGGAAUUCCGGGUGUAGCGGUGGAAUGCGUAGAGAUCCGGAAGAACACCGGUGGCGAAGGCGGCUCUCUGGACCGGUACUGACGCUGAGGCGCGAAAGCGUGGGGAGCGAACAGG